rnacentral:misc_RNA from 1 species
GCACAUCUCCACUUAGCAAGUUGCCUGUUAAGUAGCUAAUCAAGCAAUCAACUGAUUAGCAUGCUAUAUCAAUGAUAGGUCAUGGAAACAAUUAUAAGAAGUCCAAUAUGAAAAUUUUAUGUUGAGUUCACAGAUAUAGGGUACAUUGUCCUAUUAUAAAUACGUCUGUUUUUAAUGCUCAAAAGUAUAUCAGGUUUAUUGUGCAUACAUCUGCUUGGUACUUUUGGUUCAAAUUGUUUGUUCUGUUCAUAAAAUUUAUUAUACUUUUUGCAGUGAGAUUCAUAAAAAUUUAAGCUGCAUACUUACACAAAUCGUAGAUGCUGUGCAGGUAUGGAAUCUGGAAUUCUCCCAACCAAAUUGUUGAAGCUGACAUCCCUAUAAGAAAUACAACAGAACAAUGUCAAUAGAAGUAGUUUUCUUGCAUUCUUGCUCCCAAAAAUCAACCAUUAACGCUUGAGAUAAGCAAAGUAGGAAAUAAAAACAAAAAGAAGGAAACAUUGCUUUUGCAUUUUGUGCAAAAUAACUAAAGCAAACCAUUGUCAUUUAUAACAUGGAAGCAAACUAGACGAUGAUAAAAUAAAGUAAGAUGAAAAGAGAAUACAGAACUAGGGCGGCUUACUGAAUUUGACCAAACAUACAUGUUCAUAAACUAGGCAUAAGUAUUGUUUAUGCUGUUUAAAUAAGCUAAUUCAUGGAUUAGCUGUGUUGUUUCAAUUAAAUGCCUUGUUCCAUUUAAAUAAUAAUAAAAGGAACAUUUGUGUUAGUAGAAUGGCUACAACGAGGUUUAUAAGAGUUCAAAAACAUUUGGAUUUUAAGAUUUUCAGGAAACAAUAUGAAGUGAUAACAAGGGAAUAGUACAAAUAGAAGUAGGUCAACGUGUGGAUCUAUCCUGAAGCAUUCAUCAAAGUUCUUUCCAUUAUUCAGCAACUGUAAGACAGUGGAAAAGCAAUGACCUUACAAGCAAGGUUAAUAUCAUACCUCACACUAAAUGCAAUUCAGAUGUCAAAAACAAUCCAAUCCAUGGAUGACCAAAAGAUGGUUCUGAGGUCCAAGUAUCCCAUCAAAAAUAUUAUUCAGUUAAUAAUAUUCUUUGUCAAUGUUUCCAGAAGUCCAUUAGAGAAAUCCCAGCUCAAAAACUUCUGCUUAACAUUGACGUCAAUGUUUCACUAAGAAAGUGCAUCUAUAAUCUGACAAUAAAUAUCAGCAUCAGCAUUCAAGAUUCAGGUGUCUAUUCGUAGAACGCCACUGCAGCUUAACAUUGGUUUAAUUUAAUUGAUGACUAUUGCUAUUUUUCUAGGCCUUUCUUCCUUUUCUCUCUAAUGCAACAGCACGAAAAUCACCAUAAUCAUUUUUACCAACAUUCAUAUAAGACUUAUAAUCACCUUCCAGAUCAAGUUGUCAAUGUUUCUCAAAGUUAUUAAGGGAUUCCACUUGCAGUCGUUUUGCUUCACUGAAGCAAACAAUCAGAGUUUAGAGGGGCAUAUUCAAUUUAAUACUGGUUUGGGAAUUUAUUUGCCAAGCUUUACAUGGUGUACUUACAACAGUUCCAAACUCUUCAUCCUCCAGAUGUACACAGGAAGCUCCCCAGAAAUGUUACAGUUCCUCAAAACCCUAGUAAUAAAUAACCGACUCACAUUAAGUCACCAUCAUCAAAUUAAAAAAGCUACAGUUCAUAAAUGCAAACUUUUGUGACAUAAUUAAUUCAACGCACAAUCUUAUUAUGCCUGUCAUGUU